GUGGUCGAGCCGAGUGAGUCCCGAGCUAGGGCGCCUGGUCCUGACCUGAGGGCUGCAUCAAGAUCUUGUCAUUCCACAUCGUGGUUUCCUUUGAGGAUGUGGCUGUACCCCUCUCCCAGGAGGAGUGGGACUGUCUGAUCCCUGCUCAGAGGGGCCUCUACAAGGAUGUGAUGAUGGGGACCUAUGGGAACCUACUCUCAUUAGUAGGUGAAUGGUUAAGCAAACUGUGGUACAUCCAUACCAUGGGAUACGACUCAACAAUCAAAAGGAACUGCCCAGACUUCACCACGAUGCAAUAUAUGCAUGACUUCAAGCUUCCAAACCUGAUGUCAUCUCCAGGCUGGAGCGGGGGGACGAACCAUAGACCCCUCACAUCCUGAGAACUCAGGGGAGCUGGAGCUGGAGGCACAAGAGAGAAGGCUGUGAUUCUAGGAUUGAAAAAGAGGAAAUGAUUCCAAAGCAGGACAUUUCUGAAGAAUUGGAAUCCCAGAGAGCAAAAUCAGAAGAUCAUGUAAGGAAUAUUUUUAAGGAAACUGAAGAGAUGAGUAAAACUGAGGGAAAGUUAGAGAAUUGCUGGAGAAAAUAUGCAGUAGAAGGAGUUAAGAACUCAUUCUCCCAGAAGAGCAAUUUCAGAGAAAUUACCAUGAGGUAUGUGAAAACCCUCUCUAGAGAGAAUGGCCAGAAGUUCAAUGCUGUUGGAGAAAACUGCAUUACAGACUCAAAUCCUGCCAAACAUCUUAGAGGGUCUAGAGAGGAGAGUCUCCAUCCAAGUGUGUCAAGUGUAGAAAACUUGCAACAACAUGAGGACCUCAUUAACCUCCAGAGUUUCCAAUUAGGAGAAAGAGCCUAUCAGACAGAUGUGUUAGUGAAAGUGCCCAGACAGAGCUCAGUUCUUAGUGAGAAUCAGAGGAUGAAUAAUCCAGAGAGAUGGUUUGAGAGUACUGGGUGUGGAAAAACUUACAAUCAGAACAGAGCUUUUAACCAGCACCAGAGAUUUCAUAGUGGAGAGAAGACCUAUGAGCACAAUGAAUGUGGAAAAGCUUUCAGUUGGCCCUCUAUCCUCAGUAAACAUCAGAGAAUCCACACUGGUAAGAAACUCUACACAUGUGAGGAUUGUGGCAAAUCUUUCAGUGUUCACUCAUACUUUAUUCAGCAUUGUAAAAUUCACACUAGAGAAAAACCCUAUGAGUGUAUUAAAUGUGGGAAAGCUUUUA
ensembl:lncRNA ZNF252P zinc finger protein 252, pseudogene